CGUCACAACGCCCUUAUCCUCUUCCUUCCCACCCACUCGUCCCCAUUUCUCGCCCCCAUUUCUCUCUCUCUCUCUCUCUCUCUCUCUCUCUCUCUCAGUUACCGGUGGCGAGUCCUCCCUCUCUCUUCCCUGGCGGUUCUCCGGCGUUGUUGCCGACUGCGAUUCUCAGCGGUGCACGGGCGGAGGCAGAGGCUCGGAGCCGGAGGCUCGCACGCGUCACACGGCAGUCGGAUCUCGAUGCCGCGACCUUGUCGAUGACGGCGAGAAGAGGAACCCAUGCACGCCGUGGUGGUACCGUGAUUCGGUGGGACGGAGCUGCCGGAGGCGAGGCACGGAGGUGCUCGUGCGGGCCGUUUGCAUCCACCCCCUCGACAUGUGGUGGUGGUCUGGUGGACGGUGGAUAGGUCUCGCCGACGGCAUCCCGAUGCGCGGCCGUGUCGACGGUGGUGGUUAGAGCGGCUGCGCGCUUGGUGAAGCCGUAGUGUUUUUGGGCCGGAGUUGAUGCUCGGGUGUGCCGGCGCCCCAUCUGGUGCUGGAGGGAGAUGCUCGUACGCGCCAGCAAGAGCCCGCCAUAGGUGUGGAUCCUACACCUUCCGUCGCAUCCCCACGUCUCCUCCGCCUACAGCCUACUCCGUAACACGGCGAAGGAGCUCGUGUGGGUGGAUGCUCCGGCGGCGUGCCCGGAGACAACGGGUGGAGGAGCUCGUGUGUGCCUGCCCUGACGGAGAGGAGCGGAAGAUGCUCCUGGAGUGGGAGCACAACGCUCGUGCUCUGGCGGCUCCGGCGACGUACAAGCAGCUGCAUGAGCGCAGAGAGGAGCUUAUCUUUUGUUAUAUAUGUUUCAUGCCUCCUCGAGCUCGACCACCCGCGGCUACGCACUGCUAAGGCAUUGGAUCCCUUCCGGCAGGUAGCAUAUUGCUCAUCCCAUUCGCUUCAAUCUUGUCAGUUCAUUUGCAAAUUGCCAUGUCAUGACGCAGUAGAGGCACAGCAGAAUCUUUUGUUAAAAUAGUCUCAGUGUAAAUUGUUGUUAAUUCUAUGAGUAAAUGCAUGUCAUCUAACAAUUAGUCAUGGCAACUUCACAUUUUUGUGUGUAGUAGUGUCUGUAAUAGCUUUAGAGAUGAUAAACAUAGUCUUCCCUUCUUACCACCCUAAUUUACAAUCUGUAAAUUGCGAUGGCAAUAUAUUCUUCUUUUUGCCAUGGUGGGCACUUUCA